rnacentral:rRNA from 1 species
GAUGAACGCUGGCGGCGUGCCUAAUACAUGCAAGUCGAGCGAACAGACGAGGAGCUUGCUCCUCUGACGUUAGCGGCGGACGGGUGAGUAACACGUGGAUAACCUACCUAUAAGACUGGGAUAACUUCGGGAAACCGGAGCUAAUACCGGAUAAUUUAUUGAACCGCGUGGUUCAAUAGUGAAAGACGGUUUUGCUGUCACUUAUAGAUGGAUCCGCGCCGCAUUAGCUAGUUGGUAAGGUAACGGCUUACCAAGGCAACGAUGCGUAGCCGACCUGAGAGGGUGAUCGGCCACACUGGAACUGAGACACGGUCCAGACUCCUACGGGAGGCAGCAGUAGGGAAUCUUCCGCAAUGGGCGAAAGCCUGACGGAGCAACGCCGCGUGAGUGAUGAAGGUCUUCGGAUCGUAAAACUCUGUUAUUAGGGAAGAACAAAUGUGUAAGUAACUAUGCACGUCUUGACGGUACCUAAUCAGAAAGCCACGGCUAACUACGUG